GGAGUUUUGGCUCAGUGGUAGAGCGCUUGCCUAGCAUGCAUGAGGCCCUGGGUUUGAUUCUCAGCACCA
rnacentral:tRNA from 1 species